ACAUUAGUCACACCAGCAGAUUUGUUUAGUCCAGGGUGUCCAGUCUGAUCUGCAAAAGGUUGACGUGUCUGUAGAUUUUCAUUCUGACUAAACAGAAGCUCACCUGAGUCCACUUGUUCAGUCAGUUGGUCUCAGUCUUCAACAACUGACCAUGACCUGUGUUACACUGAACAUAAGCUGUCUGUGUUACAUUAAACCAACACUGCUACAUCUCUAAAUAACAUGAAGCUGAAAGUCUAAAUUCUAUCAGCUGAACUUUGUUCUUCAUCAGCAGUAAAAGUCAAACCUACAAUCACCUCAAACCCUGAAGGAGCUGCACUGACAGGAAACACAGUGACUCUGUACUGUAAACUCCAUCAGUCUGCUGGAUGGACGUUUUACUGGUCCAAACACACACAGAGCUCUGAGAACGAGACCAUCACCAAUGUCUACACCAUCAGCUCAGUUAGUCUCUCUGAUGGAGGUCAAUACUGGUGCAGAGCUGGCAGAGGAAACCCAGUCUACUACACACACUACAGUGAUGCACUCUGGGUAAACGUUACUGCUUCAGGUCCUGGUGUAAUAGUCGGAGUGUCAGUGGGACUGAGUCUAAUCUUGCUCCUCAUCAUCGUACUGGGCCUGAUUUGCUGUUACAAGAAGAGCAAAGGUGAUUCUGCAGCUCAGCCCAGUGAUGACACUUACGCUGAGAUUAUGACUACAAACAGCUACAGAGGAAGCGAUGAAGGAGCGACACAAACAAAUGACGUGACUUACUCCCAGAUUCAGCUGAAAAACCUGGAACAUCAUGAAAAAGGUCUGUGAAGAAAACUGCUGCUGUUUCAGUGCAGAACAGUAACCACAGAAACCCCUGGUUGGGUUCUAAGGAGUGCAGACAGAAGAGGAUCUGAACACAUUUAGACUGUCAGAACUUUCAUACAUGAUUUGAACAACUUCAUUUACUAAUAAGCAAACCUCAGUCAUGUCCGUCAGCUCAGGGGAUCAAAUCGGCAGCCUUGCAGUCACAAGGCUGGUUCCCUAACCACCAGCCCACGAUGAUUCAAAUAGUGCCAAAUCUUGUUUGAUGAGAUUUUUGUAGUUAUGAGUUUUGAUGUUUAAUGUGUGUUAGUUUUAUUUUUUAUCAUUUAUAUUAUUCUUUUGCCCAACUAACAAUCUUCAUAAAGUAAUGCUGAUGACAAAAAGCAGUCUGGUCCUAUGCUGUGCUAUUCUUCUUGUACUGUAUUGUAUUCAUGUAUUGUUACAUAUUUCUGUUUUUGAUCCAGUUGAAUUACAUUUAUAAUAGUCAUCCAUCCAUUUACCAAGCCGCUUCUCCCUCAGGGU